UACGGAGGGGGCAAGCGUUGUUCGGAGUCACUGGGCGUAAAGGGCGCGUAGGCGGUGGAGCGAGUCAGGCGUGAAAGCCCCGGGCUUAACCUGGGAAUUGCGCUUGAUACUGCUUUGCUUGAGACCGGGAGAGGAUGGCGGAAUCCCCAGUGUAGAGGUGAAAUUCGUAGAUAUUGGGAAGAACACCGGUGGCGAAGGCGGCCAUCUGGACCGGAUCUGACGCUGAGGCGCGAAAGCGUGGGGGACAAACAGG
rnacentral:rRNA from 1 species